AAGAGGAAACACAACAGGAGUCGAGUUUAAAUGCGUUCGAGAAAGAUGUAAUGAAGAGGUGGAAAAGAGAUCUCCGAGAAUUUGCUGCUGCGAAGAGGCAAUUUUGUGACUUGGCGAAAAGGAUAGACUGCCCACUUUCAGCUCGCUAAGAUAUGGGUUCAAGGCACAGAAAACAUCCACUAAACUAAUCUUU